AAUUGCGACCCCAGGUCAGGCCGGGAUUACCCGCUGAGUUUAAGCAUAUCAAUAAGCGGAGGAAAAGAACUUACAAGGAUUCCCCUAGUAACGGCGAGCGAACCGGGAAU
rnacentral:rRNA from 1 species